ACAGAAGGUAAUGGAUUCUUCUAAUUGCAUUAAAAGUGAGCCGUAGUUAAAUGUCAAAAUAAAUUGUUUUUUAUUGGAAAUGUAAAUAUUUUCGACCAGUUUAGGUAACCGACAGCGCUUAUUAAUUAAGUAAAAAUUUUAGUCAGGCUUGAGGUUGGUUGGAAUUUCUUGCGGUUUUCCUUACACUCGAUUCGCUGGCUUGGGGCAGUUUCAAUUCUCUCAAUUUUGAGUUUUAAGCGGCCACAAAUUGAUAAAUCUCUCGAACAAACCUCCAAUUAUCAGAUGACAAAAGGGUGCAGAACAGUGAAUCCUUCAUUUAAAAUGUCAAGAUUGUGCAAAAUUGAAUCGAUCAAGGUCUGCUAACCUUUGUCCAAGCGGAGAAUCCACAUUUUCGAUUUUGUCGAUUUAAACGGUCAAGGCCUCUGCCAUCAACUGUGCCAAUGUCGGAGAUUCGGAAGCUGAUCGCUAAUUACGGGACUUACAAGAGGAGAUCGUAAACUGUUGCAAUCUAAUCGCAUUUUAAAAUCUCGUGUGUUAAACAAUUAUUUUUGACAUUUUGUGUAUGUUUUACGCUUUUGUAAAUUUCGAGCGCGUUUAUCUGUUAUCUCGAUCAUGCAAAUGUGUGGCCUCGUUCGGCGGGUUGUGUAAUUUGGUGAAAAUGAAAGAAGAGAUUGGG